GUGGCUGUAGCUCAACGGUUAGAGCGCCUGCCUGUGGAGCAGGAGGUUGGCGGUUCGAAACCGCUCAGUCACCCCA
rnacentral:tRNA from 1 species